GGAGAGGUGGCCGAGUGGCCGAAGGCAACGGUUUGCUAAAUCGUCGUGUUCCGCAAGGGGCACCGAGGGUUCGAAUCCCUCCCUCUCCGCCA
rnacentral:tRNA from 1 species